rnacentral:rRNA from 1 species
AGGAGUCUAACAUGUGCGCAAGUCAUUUGGUUAUAAAACCAAAAGGCAUAACAAAAGUAAAGUAAGCUUUGCUUAAUUAGGGAGGAUAAUUAUUAAAUAAUAAUUUUGUUAUUUAUAAUUCGCACUCCCGGGGCGUUUAUUACUCAUUGCGAGUAAAGGCGCACCUAGAGCGUACACGUUGGGACCCGAAAGAUGGUGAACUAUGCCUGGCCAGGAUGAAGCCAGGGGAAACCCUGGUGGAGGUCCGUAGCGAUUCUGACGUGCAAAUCGAUCGUCAGAGCUAGGUAUAGGGGCGAUAGACUUAUCGAACUAUCUAGUAGCUGGUUCCUUCCGAAGUUUCCCUCAGGAUAGCUGGUGCCAAUGAUGAUUAGAGUCUCAUCUGGUAAAGCGAAUGAUUAGAGGCCUUGGGGCCGAAACGACCUCAACCUAUUCUCAAACUUUAAAUGGAUGAGAGCCUUGGCUUGCUUAAAAGUGAAGCCAAGGA